rnacentral:rRNA from 1 species
AACGAACGCUGGCGGCAGGCUUAACACAUGCAAGUCGAGAGCCCCGCAAGGGGAGCGGCAGACGGGUGAGUAACGCGUGGGAAUCUACCCAUCUCUACGGAAUAACGCAUGGAAACGUGUGCUAAUACCGUAUACGUCCUUCGGGAGAAAGAUUUAUCGGAGAUGGAUGAGCCCGCGUUGGAUUAGCUAGUUGGUGGGGUAAAGGCCUACCAAGGCGACGAUCCAUAGCUGGUCUGAGAGGAUGAUCAGCCACACUGGGACUGAGACACGGCCCAGACUCCUACAGGAGGCAGCAGUGGGGAAUAUUGGACAAUGGGCGCAAGCCUGAUCCAGCCAUGCCGCGUGAGUGAUGAAGGCCCUAGGGUUGUAAAGCUCUUUCACCGGUGAAGAUAAUGACGGUAACCGGAGAAGAAGCCCCGGCUAACUUCGUGCCAGCCGCCGCGGUAAUAC